UUAACUCGAUUUUGUAUGGAGUUGGAACGUUUACCCAUGUUUGCCGCUAGAGGUAUUGAUCCAACUGUAUACAAAUUAGAGCUC
rnacentral:pre_miRNA from 1 species